GUUUCACUGCUCGGUUAUCCUCAAAGAAGUUCUUCCACAUCUUCCUCUGAAACUUCAUGUUCCAGUAUGUGACCUUGUCCUGUCACUGUUGUGCUUGGCCGUGCUUGGCCGUGCACUUGACUCCUGCCCAAACUUGGAUUUGUGUGAAGGAUGCUUCUAUACAGAGGAAGACUAUAUUGCAGCUAUGCUUUUCUUUUCUGAAAGAAACGGUUUUACGUCUCUAGUCUACACUUGCUUCUGACAGCUAAUGAGUCAAAGAAGAGUUGUUCAAAGCUGCUUGACGUACUCUAUAAAAAAAGUCUUUUAAAGAACCGAGCACACAGACCUCAUCUCUGCCUGCACGCCUUCCACUUUCUAGAGGAAAAUGACGAAGCAGUUGACAUAUUCAAUGACAGAAAGUACAGUAUCUCUAUUUUCCGUGUCAGCCAGCAACCAGAACUAUUCCUGUGGACAUAUAUUUGCAACAUGUAGACAUUGCUAUUUGCAAAAUGUCACAAUGCCUGGAAGAAAUUAGUUCCCGUGCAAGGAGCAGCAGACUCAUCCUGGCCCUACAGAAGACAUCAGUGAUCCACAGAUGAAAGUACUUCAAAGAAUUAGUUGGGGCAUACUCUGCUUCUUUCAUCCAAAAUAGCAGUCUUCUAUUCAAGAAAA